CUCGUCCUUUGAACAAGGAUCAUUAUUAUCCUAGCAUAGUUUUGACUUGCUUCAGUUGAUUGUCACCCAACUUAAUGGGGAUGAAACAGAAGCAACUCAGCCAAAUGACGACGAGCGAGACGCUCUUAAAAGCAGCAGCAGCAGAAACCAUCACCCGUGAGACAACAAUGGGACGAGGACAAAGACGAUGACUCUUCCCUUCAGGUCAUGCGAUGCCAAUGGUAAGAUUGGGCAGAGACUAAAACGAAGCCUUCAUUCAAUAUAAAUUGGACGAUUAGACACUGAAAGUUCUCGACACAUCUCUCGGAAAUUAACUCAUUAAAUAAAAACACUAAAUUCGU